rfam:Solanum lycopersicum cultivar Heinz 1706 chromosome 4, whole genome shotgun sequence.
UAGGUGGAUUUGAGGACUUCAACUUGCAUAUUUGGAAGAUUUUGAAGACUUCUACAUGCACAUUUGGAAGAUUUGAAGACUUCGACU